UUUCAUAGAAACGUCACCUGUACGUUUGCUCUCCAAUGCGCAUGCUCACUACCUCGAUAUUCCCAUUUUUAUAGUGAUUUUGGCUAAAUAAGCACAAUUUAUUUGAUCAUUGUUGUCAUUUUAUUCCCUAUUUGAAAUAUGUCAUUCGGCGAUUUUGAUCGUUCCUCAUUCCAGUAAACAAACUUGAGAUAACACAUGGCUUGAGAUAACCAAGAUUGCCGCUGAAGGGAUUAGCUUGUUUCUCAACCAUCUCUUGAAUAUCAACAGAAGAACACCAAUGAAAGCUCUCCAGCAGCCGUCAUCAGAAGAGGAAGCCAACCUAGAAAAGAAUAAUGCAUAAAGAUAGCAAAAAACUGGGAACACACAAAAAAGGGGGCAAAAGAAGAAGGUUGGUGGAUUUGGAUUAGGGAAUCCCGUGGUUGAAGGGGGGACAUGCUCAGGCAAUUUGUUUCCCAUUAUUUUAAUGUAAGGGCGACUUCUUCCAAACAAAACAGGAUUGCUGGCAGCUGAGUGGGCCUCUGGUCGGUGCCUGCAAAGUCAAGAUCUGAAGACUUCUCUCUCAAACUCUGAGUCAUAUUUAAACGGAAGAUAAGUCACAAAAGACACUGAACAUUAAUCAUUAAACGUUAGAUCCGUAGGGCAUCUAUAAAUCACUUGGAGCCCUUUCACCUCCCAUUAAGUAGUGUGUGGAUCUAGCCAAGUCAUAAUUUCUACAUUCAUCAGAUGUUAUUGUUUUCUUUGAAUGCAGUGUAAUGAGGAAAUAACAAAAUGAUACAA
ensembl:lncRNA